ensembl:snRNA U6 U6 spliceosomal RNA
GUGCUUAUUUCAGCAGCACAUAGAUUAAAAUUGGAAUGACACAGAGAAGAUUAGCAUGGCCCCUGGAGAAGGAUGGCACACAAAUUCAUAAAGUGUUUCAUAAUUUU